rnacentral:snRNA from 1 species
UUACUCUGGUUUCUCUGCAUCACGCAUAAAUCUUUCGCCUUUUACUAAAGAUUUCCGUGCAGAGGAACACUCAUUGAGUUUAAACUCAAUUUUUCUCGCCCUUGUUAAUCAACAAGGGU